GACGAACGCUGGCGGCGUGCUUAACACAUGCAAGUCGAACGGAAAGGCCCUGCUUGCAGGGUACUCGAGUGGCGAACGGGUGAGUAACACGUGUGUGAUCUGCCCUGCACUUCGGGAUAAGCCUGGGAAACUGGGUCUAAUACCGGAUAGGAGCCAUUUUUAGUGUGAUGGUUGGAAAGUUUUUUCGGUGUAGGAUGAGCUCGCGGCCUAUCAGCUUGUUGGUGGGGUAAUGGCCUACCAAGGCGGCGACGGGUAGCCGGCCUGAGAGGGUGGACGGCCACAGUGGGACUGGGAUACGGACCAGACUCAUACGGGAGGCAGCAGUGGGGAAUAUGGCAAAAUGGGAGCAAGCGUGAUGCAGCGACGGCGAGUGGGGGAUGACGGCCUUCGGGUUGUAAACUCAAUUCGCUAGGGACGAAGCUGUUAGUGACGGUACCUAGAGAAGAAGCACCGGCUAACUACGUG
rnacentral:rRNA from 1 species